GCGGAAGUGUCGGAACUGGCAGACGAGCUAGACUAAGGAUCUAGUAACAGCAAUGUUGUGAGGGUUCAAGUCCCUUCUUCCGCA
rnacentral:tRNA from 1 species